rnacentral:rRNA from 1 species
UACGGAGGGUGCGAGCGUUGUCCGGAAUCAUUGGGCGUAAAGGGUGCGUAGGCGGCCUAUUAAGUCAGGGGUGAAAGACGGUGGCUCAACCAUCGCAGUGCCUUUGAUACUGAUAGGCUUGAAUACACUAGAGGUAGGCGGAAUGUGACAAGUAGCGGUGAAAUGCAUAGAUAUGUCACAGAACACCGAUUGCGAAGGCAGCUUACUAUGGUGUCAUUGACGCUGAGGCACGAAAGCGUGGGGAUCAAACAGG